AAAAUAGGCGGGAUAGCUGCCCGUAGCGCUAAGCGCGCGGGAGGAAAGUCCGAGCUCUAAAGGACAGCGCAGCGGAUAAUAACCGCCACCCUUAAAGGCUUGCCUUUAAGGGGAGGAAAAGAGCCACAGAGACGAGUCGUCCUAUUGCUCUUGUAUCGCUAUGCGAUGCAAGAGCAAAACGUAAGAAGGACGGGUGAAACGCGGCAAUCUCUGCGUAGAGCAAUGCUAAGUAGUCUCUGACAUCCCGUCUGACGGGAAUAGGACUGUCCGUCUGAAAAACAGAGUCAGAGAGGGUUGGCUGCUAGAGCCCGCGGAGCGAUCCGCAGGUCGAGUCAAAUAGCUAUCAUGCCCUGCUGUCCUGAAAUCGCGAGCGAUCCCAGGACAAAACGUAACCAGGGCAGACAGAACUCGGCUUAUACGUCUAUUUUGGAA
rnacentral:RNase_P_RNA from 4 species